rnacentral:rRNA from 1 species
AUUGAACGCUGGCGGCAUGCCUUACACAUGCAAGUCGAACGGCAGCACGGGGGCGAACCCUCGGUGGCGAGUGGCGAACGGGUGAGUAACAUAUCGGAACGUGCCCUGGAGUGGGGGAGUAACUAGUCGAAAGACUAGCUAAUACCGCAUACGAUCUACGGAUGAAAGGUGGGGGAGUCGCAAGACCUCAUGCUCGUGGAGCGGCCGAUAUCUGAUUAGCUAGNGGUGGGGUAAAGGCCUACCAAGGCAUCGAUCAGUAGCUGGUCUGAGAGGACGACCAGCCACACUGGGACUGAGACACGGCCCAGACUCCUACGGGAGGCAGCAGUGGGGAAUUUUGGACAAUGGGCGCAAGCCUGAUCCAGCAAUGCCGCGUGAGUGAAGAAGGCC